rnacentral:rRNA from 1 species
UACAGAGGGUGCAAGCGUUAAUCGGAUUUACUGGGCGUAAAGCGUGCGUAGGUGGUCUGUUAAGUCAGGUGUGAAAUCCCCGGGCUCAACCUGGGAACUGCAUUUGAUACUGGCAGACUUGAGUGUGGUAGAGGGUAGUGGAAUUCCGCAUGUAGCGGUGAAAUGCGUAGAGAUGCGGAGGAACAUCAGUGGCGAAGGCGGCUACCUGGACCAACACUGACACUGAGGCACGAAAGCGUGGGUAGCAAACAGG